GAUGAACGCUGGCGGCGUGCCUAAUACAUGCAAGUCGAGCGAACAGACGAGGAGCUUGCUCCUCUGACGUUAGCGGCGGACGGGUGAGUAACACGUGGAUAACCUACCUAUAAGACUGGGAUAACUUCGGGAAACCGGAGCUAAUACCGGAUGAUAUAUUGAACCGCAUGGUUCAAUAGUGAAAGACGGUUUUGCUGUCACUUAUAGAUGGAUCCGCGCUGCAUUAGCUAGUUGGUAAGGUAACGGCUUACCAAGGCAACGAUGCAUAGCCGACCUGAGAGGGUGAUCGGCCACACUGGAACUGAGACACGGUCCAGACUCCUACGGGAGGCAGCAGUAGGGAAUCUUCCGCAAUGGGCGAAAGCCUGACGGAGCAACGCCGCGUGAGUGAUGAAGGUCUUCGGAUCGUAAAACUCUGUUAUUAGGGAAGAACAAAUGUGUAAGUAACUAUGCACAUCUUGACGGUACCUAAUCAGAAAGCCACGGCUAACUACGUG
rnacentral:rRNA from 1 species